CCUACGGGUGGCAGCAGUGGGGAAUAUUGCGCAAUGGGCGAAAGCCUGACGCAGCGACGCCGCGUGCGCGAUGAAGGUCUUCGGAUCGUAAACCUCUGUCAGCAGGGAAGAACGGUCACUGUGCUAAUCAGCAGUGAAUUGACGGUACCUGCACAGGAAGCACCGGCUAACUCCGUGCCAGCAGCCGCGGUAAUACGGAGGGUGCGAGCGUUAAUCGGAAUUACUGGGCGUAAAGCGCUCGUAGGCGGUAUGUCAAGUCAAGGGUGAAAUCCCCGCGCUCAACGUGGGAACGGCCUUUGAAACUGGCAAACUGGAGUGUGUGAGAGGAUAGUGGAAUUCCAGGUGAAGGAGUGAAAUGCGUAGAUAUCUGGAGGAACAUCAGUGGCGAAGGCGACUAUCUGGCACAUAACUGACGCUGAGGAGCGAAAGCGUGGGGAGCAAACAGGAUUAGAUACCCGUGUAGUC
rnacentral:rRNA from 1 species